UAGGGAAUCUUCCACAAUGGACGCAAGUCUGAUGGAGCAACGCCGCGUGAGUGAAGAAGGUCUUCGGAUCGUAAAACUCUGUUGUUAGAGAAGAACACGAGUGAGAGUAACUGUUCAUUCGAUGACGGUAUCUAACCAGCAAGUCACGGCUAACUACGUGCCAGCAGCCGCGGUAAUACGUAGGUGGCAAGCGUUGUCCGGAUUUAUUGGGCGUAAAGGGAACGCAGGCGGUCUUUUAAGUCUGAUGUGAAAGCCUUCGGCUUAACCGGAGUAGUGCAUUGGAAACUGGAAGACUUGAGUGCAGAAGAGGAGAGUGGAACUCCAUGUGUAGCGGUGAAAUGCGUAGAUAUAUGGAAGAACACCAGUGGCGAAAGCGGCUCUCUGGUCUGUAACUGACGCUGAGGUUCGAAAGCGUGGGUAGCAAACAGGAUUAGAUACCCUGGUAGUCCACGCCGUAAACGAUGAAUGCUAGGUGUUGGAGGGUUUCCGCCCUUCAGUGCCGCAGCUAACGCAAUAAGCAUUUCGCCUGGGGAGUACGACCGCAAGGUU
rnacentral:rRNA from 1 species